rnacentral:lncRNA from 1 species
AGAACACAGACUCAGAUACUCUUGGUUCUGAAACCUGAGUUCCUGGAAGUGAAUGAAGAAAAACAACUCCUGCUUAGCAAUCAGGAUGUCCACUUGGAUUGGCACGGAGGGUUGGUUCUAUGGUGCCUGCAUUAAUGAUGGACACAACUCUUCCCAGCGUGGAUAUUAAAAGAACCACUGUCCAACAGUGUAAAAACACCUGACUACUUCAUGCUUAGAAGAGAAAGUGCUGAGAUUUGGGAUCCCUCUCAAAGCCAAUCAGAUGUGGGGUAAGAGAGUGGUUUUUGACACUUUGGAAGAAAUUUGCUCU